UCUGGAUAGAGCAGCCCGGUAGCUCGUCAGGCUCGUAACCUGGAGGUCAUAGGUUCAAACCCUACCCCCGCACCA
rnacentral:tRNA from 8 species